rnacentral:rRNA from 1 species
UACGUAGGGUGCAAGCGUUAAUCGGAAUUACUGGGCGUAAAGCGUGCGCAGGCGGCUUUGCAAGACAGAUGUGAAAUCCCCGGGCUUAACCUGGGAACUGCAUUUGUGACUGCAGGGCUGGAGUGCGGCAGAGGGGGAUGGAAUUCCGCGUGUAGCAGUGAAAUGCGUAGAUAUGCGGAGGAACACCGAUGGCGAAGGCGGCAUCCUGGGUCAAGAUUGACGCUCAUGCACGAAAGCGUGGGGAGCAAACAGG